rnacentral:rRNA from 1 species
UACAGAGACUGCAAGCGUUAUUCGGAUUCACUGGGCGUAAAGGGUGCGUAGGCGGUCGGGUAAGUCUGAUGUGAAAUCUCACAGCUUAACUGUGAAACUGCAUUGGAUACUAUCCGGCUUGAGGAAUGGAGGGGAGACUGGAAUACUUGGUGUAGCAGUGAAAUGCGUAGAUAUCAAGUGGAACACCAGUGGCGAAGGCGAGUCUCUGGACAUUUCCUGACGCUGAGGCACGAAAGCCAGUGGAGCAAACGGG